AGAUUGAACGCUGGCGGCAUGCCUUACACAUGCAAGUCGAACGGCAGCACGGGGGCAACCCUGGUGGCGAGUGGCGAACGGGUGAGUAAUACAUCGGAACGUAUCCUGUAGCGGGGGAUAACCUCUCGAAAGAGAGGCUAAUACCGCAUACGACCUACGGGUGAAAGAGGGGGAUCGCAAGACCUCUCACUAUUGGAGCGGCCGAUGUCGGAUUAGCUAGUUGGUAGGGUAAAAGCCUACCAAGGCUACGAUCCGUAGCUGGUCUGAGAGGACGACCAGCCACACUGGAACUGAGACACGGUCCAGACUCCUACGGGAGGCAGCAGUGGGGAAUUUUGGACAAUGGGCGCAAGCCUGAUCCAGCCAUGCCGCGUGAGUGAAGAAGGCCUCGGGUGUAAAGCUCUUUCGUCGGAAGAAAAGGUUACGCGCUAACACCGCGGACUCAUGACGUACCGGCGAUAAGAAGACACCGGCUAACUACGUAGCCAGCAGCCGCGGUAAU
rnacentral:rRNA from 1 species